UACGUAGGGACCAAGCGUUGUCCGGAAUCAUUGGGCGUAAAGCGCGCGUAGGCGGCCCGGGUAAGUCCGUUGUAAAAGUCGAAGGCUCAACCUUCGAAAGCCGAUGGAUACUGCCGGGCUAGAGUACGGAAGAGGCGAGUAGAAUUCCUGGUGUAGCGGUGGAAUGCGCAGAUAUCAGGAGGAAUACCCAUAGCGAAGGCAGCUCGCUGGGACGUUACUGACGCUGAGGCGCGAAAGCGUGGGGAGCGAACAGG
rnacentral:rRNA from 1 species